rnacentral:rRNA from 1 species
UACGAAGGGGGCUAGCGUUGCUCGGAAUCACUGGGCGUAAAGCGCACGUAGGCGGCUUUCUAAGUCAGGGGUGAAAUCCUGGAGCUCAACUCCAGAACUGCCUUUGAUACUGGGAAGCUCGAGUCCGGAAGAGGUGAGUGGAACUGCGAGUGUAGAGGUGAAAUUCGUAGAUAUUCGGAAGAACACCAGUGGCGAAGGCGGCUCACUGGCCCGGUACUGACGCUGAGGUGCGAAAGCGUGGGGAGCAAACAGG